CGAUGUCUUGGCCACUAGGCUAAGACUGGGCCGACAUGUGAAUUUGUAGUUUUGUAUCAUAAUUGCGGUGCCAAAAGAUAUUGUCAUAUAAAUAAAUCAGACAUCGAUGUGCACUUGCCUGGUAAUUAAAGAUUUAUAUCUCCAGCUAUUAAAUGAUUCUUUCUUUUAUCUGCACAUGUGCAAACUAAGUGAGGAAAAGGAAUCAAAUCGUUUACCAAAUAAAAUUAUAUUAUUUUGAUAAAAACUUAUAUCAUUCUUCUUUUAUGCCAUUCUUAAUUGCUUGGGCAUUUUUUUUUUCCUCUGCUCCUUACAUAUGAAAGGGUUAUGCUUUACUGAUAUUUGGUACGAAUGCUAAUUCAAGCAAUACACUUUAUAAUCACAUGAUCAUUCCGAUGUACGCGGAUUGUAUUUUUGUGGAUUUUAUUUAGUUUAGAUAAAGUAUUGAGGAAGACUAGUUGUUGAUAGUUCUUCAGUCUUCACCCUUUAAUGUCCAUUUUUGACUAAACAAACAU
rnacentral:misc_RNA from 1 species